GGUGCAUAUACUGUGCAGCCAGACGGAUUUCAGUAGCUCAGCUCUCCGGGCGUGAUUUAUAUCCUACCUUUUCUGGUUCAGGCAAUAUGGCUAGCACUCCUACGAGGUUUCCUGACAACAACCCUGUGAGAGUUUAUUAUCUUUAAAUCACUCCACUUGCCAGAUGGUGAAAGUUUAAGCCAGACCAUUUCCAUAUCUGUUUUCCUCUACAGGGGAGUGUCGCUGAGGACCAAAGUUGUAGAAUCCUGCAAAUGACUGAAUGAAGAGAACUUCAGAGUAUACAAAUGCUUACUUGAAGAUUAUGGCUCCAGAAAGAGUUGUAGCUGUUUUGAUUUCCAAAAUCUUGGUCUGCAAAAAUUAGAGACAUUAGAAUAAUCUUAAAACCCUCACAUUGUCAACGCUUAAUAUUGUUACAGUAUAGGCACAGCAAUCAAAAAUUUGACACCCCUAUGCAAGAAAGUGAUUCUCACACAGCCAAUUUUUGCAGGUGAAUUACACCACUGUUUUCAUGUGAAGAUGCAGUAUAGAUGGGUCCAUGAAAUUGGAAGGAGUUGAGCUCAAUAGGAUAUUUUACAUUCACUUACUUAGCUUUCCAGAUAUUAUAUAAUUAUAAUGAGGAAACUGGACUCAGUUAAUUAACAAUUUCAUAACUUUAUUUGCGUUAGAGGUAAGAUAAGCAUGAAAGGAACAUGUAUUUACAAAAUAUAUAAAAUGGGACAUGCAAGAUUUUUUGUUUUGUACCUAUAAGAAAUUGAUCAAGCUUUCCUUGAUUUGUGCUGUUGCUGGGCAACAUCAGUGUAGAGCUGCCACUUUAGGUCUGUUCUCUAAGUGACCUGCUACUAUUCUUAGACUCUAGAGUUAGUCCAUAGGUUAUAUCUUUUUUCUUUUGUAAGAAAAAAAAUGUCCAGUACCAAUAUAUUUUUUGAAAGAGCAAGUUUAAGGAAACACUUGCAUAAUUUCAGGGUGACAUUACAACCUGAAUCUAUAUGAGAAUUUCCAUGACUACCUGCCAAAACAAUUUUAUUGAAAUAAAAUUUACUGUCAUA